UCCAUGUGGCUCCUUACAGAUGACGUGGGU
rnacentral:piRNA from 1 species